UACGAAGGGGGCUAGCGUUGUUCGGAAUUACUGGGCGUAAAGGGCUCGUAGGCGGCCAACUAAGUCGGAUGUGAAAUCCCCAGGCUUAACCUGGGAACUGCAUCCGAUACUGGAUGGCUUGAAUCCGGGAGAGGGAUGCAGAAUUCCAGGUGUAGCGGUGAAAUGCGUAGAUAUCUGGAGGAAUACCGGUGGCGAAGGCGGCAUCCUGGACCGGCAUUGACGCUGAUGAGCGAAAGCUAGGGGAGCAAACGGGG
rnacentral:rRNA from 1 species